CAGUAAGGGGAAUGAUGUACUACUACAAGGCUCUGAAAAUGCUGGCCUUUCUUGAUUCUGCAUCAGAGAUGGACAUAAGG